rnacentral:misc_RNA from 2 species
CCCAACUAUCCCUAUUAAUCAUUACGGUGAUCCUAGAAACCAACAAAAUAGAACCAUGCCGUCCUAUUUUAUUAUUCCAUGCUAAUGUAUUCAGGCACUAGCCUGCUUUGAGCACUCUAAUUUUUUCAAGGUAAUAGUCCUGCUUCCCCAACGCACCAAAUGAAUGGCAUGCUGGUUAUUCAGAAGGUAAGAACCCACCACACCAGUACGGACAGUGAAGCCCGACCGAUGGACAGAUUCCGAAAUUCAACUACGAGCUUUUUAACUGCAACAACUUUAAUAUACGCUAUUGGAGCUGGAAUUACCGCGGCUGCUGGCACCAGACUUGCCCUCCAA